rnacentral:RNase_P_RNA from 1 species
AGAUGGUUGGACAAUCGCUGUGCUUUUGUACAGAGGAAAGUCCGGGCUUCGUAUGGGGCGCAAUACCGGAUAACGUCCGGGCGGGGUGACCCGAUGGAUAGUGUCACAGAAAAUAAACCGCCUGUUUAAUACAGGUAAGGGUGCAACGGCGAGGUAAGAGCUCACCGCAUCGGCUGAAAGGCUGGAUGGCUUGAUAAACCCUAUUGGAAGCAAGACCAAAUUAUUACAGCCGUUGGCACUUUGUUUUACAAAAUGCCUAUGCAAAAUGAACAGCCUCAGGUUCGCUGUUACAAGGUAGGUCGCUAGAGCAGGUCAGUAAUGGCUUGUCAAGAUGAAUGAUUGUUGAAUACAGAACCCGGCUUAUAGAUCAUCUGG